rnacentral:rRNA from 1 species
GACGAACGCUGGCGGCGUGCUUAACACAUGCCAGUCGAACGGAAAGGCCCUGCUUUUGUGGGGUGCUCGAGUGGCGAACGGGUGAGUAACACGUGAGUAACCUGCCCUUGACUUUGGGAUAACUUCAGGAAACUGGGGCUAAUACCGGAUAGGAGCUCCUGCUGCAUGGUGGGGGUUGGAAAGUUUCGGCGGUUGGGGAUGGACUCGCGGCUUAUCAGCUUGUUGGUGGGGUAGUGGCUUACCAAGGCUUUGACGGGUAGCCGGCCUGGGAGGGUGACCGGCCACAUUGGGACUGAGAUACGGCGCAGACGCCUACGGGAGGCAGCGGUGGAGAAUAUUGCACAAUAGGCGGAAGCCUGAUGCAGCAACGCCGCGUGCGGAAUGACGGCCUUCGGGUUGUAAACCGCUUUCGCCUGUGCCGAAGCGUGAGUGACGGUAAUGGGUAAAGAAGCACCGGCUAACUACGUG